rnacentral:rRNA from 1 species
CAGUCGCCACGGUAAUACGUAGGGUGCAAGCGUUAAUCGGAAUUACUGGGCGUAAAGCGUGCGCAGGCGGUUUUGUAAGACAGAGGUGAAAUCCCCGGGCUCAACCUGGGAACUGCCUUUGUGACUGCAAGGCUAGAGUACGGCAGAGGGGGAUGGAAUUCCGCGUGUAGCAGUGAAAUGCGUAGAUAUGCGGAGGAACACCGAUGGCGAAGGCAAUCCCCUGGGCCUGUACUGACGCUCAUGCACGAAAGCGUGGGGAGCAAACAGGAUUAGAUACCCCAGUAGUCCCUGUCUCUUAUAA